CCUACGGUGGCAGCAGUGGGGGAUACUGCACAAUGGGGGGAACCCUGAUGCAGUGACGCCGCGUGGGUGACGGAGCGUUUCGGCGCGUAAAGCCCUAUCGGCAGGGAAGAAGGAGGACGGUACCUGACUAAGAAGACCCGGCUAACUACGUGCCAGCAGCCGCGGUAAUACGUCGGGGGCGAGCGUUAUCCGGAUUUACUGGGUGUAAAGGGGGCGCAGACGGCAGCGCAAGCCAGGAGGGAAAGCCCGGGUCCCAACCCCGGGACGGCGCUUGGAACUGCGCGGCUGGAGUGCAGGAGGGGCAGGCGGAAUUCCUGGUGUAGCGGUGAAAGGCGUAGAUAGCAGGAGGAACACCGGUGGCGAAGGCGGCCUGCUGGACUGCGACUGACGUUGAGGCCCGAAAGCGUGGGGAGCAAACAGGAUUAGAUACCCGAGUAGUC
rnacentral:rRNA from 1 species